ensembl:lncRNA
GUACACUGAAAAAAAGGGACUGGCCAUCUCUUGGAUUUAUGUAAGCAUCUUGCAUGUAUUUAACACAAUUGCCUCAUGUUUUAAAGUUAAAUGUCACUAUAUAGUGUAAAAACUACAUGAUAUGCAGAAAGGGUGUAUUAAAUUGUUCAUAUCAUGUUCAGGUGAAGUAAGUUAAUAAGAUAGCAACGUUAAAUCUCGUGAAACCACGCGUGAUUUCAUCUCGCGGGCUUUGGAUCGUGGUUUAAAAAAGGCAUCCAUCUCAGUCAAGUCGAGCAGCCAACUCUACGUUUUUGGUAUGUCUUGAUUUUUUGAAUUAAUUUUUACCAUAUUUCAGCCAAAUGUAGUUAAACGUCUAGAGUGUCGCCAUGUAACAUGCUAAAAAAGAGCCGUUAGCUUAUUUGCUGUUUUAUCUGUUGUCAAAGAAUUGGCGCUUUUUCAUUUGAAUUUGUCUUUGGCACAAGAGCCGUAAUAUCACAUUAAACCUAAUUACGAGGCACUCAUAACAUAAUUUGGUUUUCUGUGUGAAUAGAUUUGCCAACUGACUCUUCAGUUACAUUGUGUAUUUACUGCACCGUGGUGUUAGUGAGAUUUUGGACAUUGAACAGCUUUAGCUAAUAUCAUCAGCGGCAUUAUGCUAGCUUACAUCCCUACCCCUCCUGCCCUCACCUGCUGUCCUUUUGUUUUUGUUUUUUUUGCUGCACAUUGAGAGACGACCUCUAUUCUGCAUUUCACCAGGAGUCAGCUGAUGGAUUGUGGGUUCAAGGUGUUAUGAUGAAAUGCAGCAUUCCAGUGCAUCCCAACCAUGCAUACAGUCAAGGUUUCUGACGGAGCUGAGUUUCUCUCUGACAGUCUACUGAAAGUGUUUGCAAAGUGAUCGGGGGAACAGGGCACAAAGCUAAUGGAUGUAGCUGCCAUUAUGACAGAUGACAUUAAUGCUCGGAGUCCCUCAUCAAAGUGCUCCGCAUCUGUGUGAAAGACAAUUGCAACAUCUUGGUGCAGGAGUUCAUGGACUUGACUGAGGCCACUGCACAGAUUGAGAAAACCACAAUGAACAUCUGUCUCCAGAGAUGCGCCAGGCAAUGACUUUUCUGAUGUUGUUCUUCAAGAUCUGGAUAACGUGACCUUUGCAGUAGC